rnacentral:rRNA from 1 species
AUUGAACGCUGGCGGAAUGCUUUACACAUGCAAGUCGGACGGUAGAGGGGGCAACCCCUCGAGAGUGGCGAACGGGUGAGUAAUAUAUCGGAACGUGCCCAGUCGUGGGGGAUAACGUAGCGAAAGUUACGCUAAUACCGCAUACGAUCUAAGGAUGAAAGCGGGGGAUCGCAAGACCUCGCGCGAUUGGAGCGGCCGAUAUCAGAUUAGGUAGUUGGUGGGGUAAAGGCUCACCAAGCCAACGAUCUGUAGCUGGUCUGAGAGGACGGCCAGCCACACUGGAACUGAGACACGGUCCAGACUCCUACGGGAGGCAGCAGUGGGGAAUUUUGGACAAUGGACGCAAGUCUGAUCCAGCCAUUCCGCGUGCAGGAUGAAGGCCCUCGGGUUGUAAACUGCUUUUGUACGGAACGAAAAGGUCUCUCUUAAUACGGGGGGCUCAUGACGGUACCGUAAGAAUAAGCACCGGCUAACUACGUGCCAGCCGCCGCAGUAA